rnacentral:rRNA from 1 species
CAGCAGCCGCGGUAAAACGUAGGAGGCGAGCGUUAUCCGGAAUCACUGGGCGUAAAGGGCGUCUAGGCGGAGUAUCAAGCGUGGUGUGAAAGCUCCUGGCUCAACUGGGAGAGUGCGCCGCGAACUGAUAAUCUAGAGGGCGGGCGAAGGGGGUGGAAUUCCCGGUGGAGUGGUGAAAUGCGUAGAGAUCGGGAGGAACACCAGAGGCGAAAGCGGCCCCCUAGCCUGAACCUGACGCUGAAGCGCGACAGCGUGGGGAGCAAACGGGAUUAGAUACCCCGGUAGUCCACGCCGUAAACGAUGGUGACUAGGUGUAGGUGGUUAUUGACCCCACCUGUGCCGCAGCCAACGCGAUAAGUCACCCGCCUGGGGAGUACGGCCGCAAGGCUAAAACUCAAAGGAAUUGACGG